GCCAGGUGCAGUGGCGCACACCUGUAAUCCCAGCAGCUUGGGAGGCUGAGGCAGGAGGAUUGUGAGUUCAAAACCAGCCUCAG
rnacentral:sRNA from 1 species